rnacentral:rRNA from 1 species
AGAGCGAACGCUGGCGGCAGGCCUAAUACAUGCAAGUCGAGCGGCCACUUCGGUGGCAGCGGCGGACGGGUGAGUAACGCGUGGGAAUGUGCCCUUUGGUACGGAACAACUGAGGGAAACUUCAGCUAAUACCGUAUGUGCCCUUCGGGGGAAAGAUUUAUUGCCGAUUGGAGCAGCCCGCGUUGGAUUAGCUAGUUGG